GUCGAGGCCAUCUUGUUCACUCACUUCACAGAGAUACAAACAAACCAAAAGAGAUGAUUCUAUUUACUUAAGAUUCACUGGUAUGUGGGAGAGCUAUGUUUUAGACAGUAAAAAAUCUAGCUGUAAUCUGGAUGGCAGAUUGGGCAGGGAGAGGCCAGAAGCAAAGAGACCCAUUAGGAAGAUGUGACAUCAUCAGAAAUCAAGGUCUCACUUCCACGGGGGAUCCUUAUGGGGUGCAAAGAAAUCAUAAUUCAACACCAACAAGAUGGCUAGCUCCAAGACUGUGCAAAGAGCAGAACUGAUUCAGGCUGUGCCUGUCCUGUUAUUAAUGAUUUAAGGACUCAGAGCAACUAAUGCAUUAUGCCCACGUGUGAGGAAGAGAAAGGCAUCUUGGGAUGCAGGGCAAAGAGAGAACAUUCAUAACGCUAAUUGGGAACGAGCCCCCAGGGGAUCUUCACCGCCCAUAAGCAAGAAUGAAGUAUGAACCCUCCCACCUUUGACUCCAGAAUCAAACUAUAAAUCAAACAGCAGGAUCAUUUGGUGAAGGACUGUGGAGGAUUCCUCGCUGGGAAAAUGAGGGAACUGGACUCCACUCCGCUGCCUGCAGGAACUUGGAAUGCUGGAAUCUCACGUCCAAAGGAGUAACUCUCCCACAGGGAGUUUCCAGCACUGUGGCAGAAGGAAAGAGAAAGCACAAAUACGUUCUUGAAAGACACAGACUCUCUGGUGCCCCUUGAGUCACACAUAUCAAAUUGAAAUGAACAAAUGAGUAUCUGUUCCCCGCUUCUGAUGUGUGAGGCUGUCGACUGGCAGGGGUUACUAUGCUUAGGUUUUCAACUGGCUCUGUUGCCUCCACUAAAAAUAAGCCGCCAGUAU
rnacentral:lncRNA from 1 species